UACGUAGGGUGCAAGCGUUGUCCGGAAUUAUUGGGCGUAAAGAGCUCGUAGGCGGUCUGUCGCGUCUGCUGUGAAAACCUAGGGCUUAACUCUGGGCGUGCAGUGGGUACGGGCAGGCUAGAGUGCGGUAGGGGGAGACUGGAAUUCCUGGUGUAGCGGUGAAAUGCGCAGAUAUCAGGAGGAACACCGGUGGCGAAGGCGGGUCUCUGGGCCGUAACUGACGCUGAGGAGCGAAAGCGUGGGGAGCAAACAGG
rnacentral:rRNA from 1 species